rnacentral:rRNA from 1 species
UACGUAGGGGGCAAGCGUUGUCCGGAAUCAUUGGGCGUAAAGCGCGUGUAGGCGGUUCGGUAAGUCUGCUGUGAAAGUCCGGGGCUCAACCUCGGAUCGGCCGUGGCGACUCGUGGGCUGGAGCACUGUAGAGGCGGGUGGAAUUCCGGGUGUAGCGGUGGAAUGCGUAGAGAUCCGGAAGAACACCAGUGGCGAAGGCGGCCCGCUGGGCAGUGGCUGACGCUGAGGCGCGACAGCGUGGGGAGCAAACAGG